CAUUUCAACGUAUGAUACAAGAGAACAGAUAAAAAACUCUGUCUCCCCGUAUAAAAAAAUAUAUUAUAAUAUGGUAUAAAAAAUAGAAGCUACUAGUGAAUGUAGAAUACUGUGAAGAUUUGAAAUUCUCGCCAGAUAUAGAUUUCUUUUUCGUUAGAUGAUUUCAGCGCCACCUGUUCUUUUAGUUGUAAACUACGAGCCUAAAAGUGGGUCGCCAUUUAGCACUAGGGUUAGUACGGCGUUUCCUAUCUUUCUCUCCCUAAUCUUUGAUUCCUCCUAUAGUUAUACACAUAUUCAAGAGCGAUAACACCUGAUGAAAGCAGUGUAAUUCAUUUAUCCCUCCCAUAUCCUCAAUGAAACUCCAAAACAAAUAAUGCUUUAUGAAUAUUAUACAAAAUUUGGAAAAUUUCAAGAUGAUCAAAUAACAUUAUUAAUUUCAACAAUUGCCCAAUAUUUCGAGGGGAAAGCCAUUCCCAUGUCUUCAUCUUCGAGUUACUAUCUUGAAAAAGAAAUAUUGGAACGAUUUCCUACUGAAAAAUUGGUGAGACUUUAUUCAUGAAAUUAAAUAAACAAUUAAAAUUUUCGAAUUCCAGGAAUAUUAUCGAACGAAUAAACAGGGAAGACUACAACCAGUGCUCAAAUAUGAAAAAAUCAAUUAAUUGUACAAUUUCCAAGCAUAUCAAUGAACGAAACACAAAGAAGAAUCUUCAAAAUGCUCGAAAACACUCUCUGAGAAAACAUUUGGCUGACAUGAAUUUCGAAAUGGUUUGUGGUAAAUCAAACUCCCUUAUAAAUUCAUAGAUUGGGAGAGGUGCUAUCAAAACAUCAUCACAUUCCUCAUGAAAGAGAAAAACGAGAAAGAAAAAACUGUGAAAGAACUUCCGGGCACUGUUAGUGAAGGAAAUUUCAGUGAAAAUGGACAAGAUGCUUCAAUUGUUUGGAGAUUAUUUGGUGCCUACGAUGGAUGCCAUUACUGGACAAAAACACAACCAAAUAUAGAAUUGAAGAUUCUCAGGGAUUAUUCCUGUUUGUUGGAAGGUAGAUGCAGGAAGUGGAAGAUCAUAUAGAGUAUUGGAAAAAGCAAAAUGAACAACCCCAUACAGCCAUUUAUAAAAGGCAUUGCAUCGGAGAUGAUAUAAAAUUUAUGAAUAGAAUAGAAUAGAAUAGCCUUUAUUGGUGAUAUUGCAUAACAAUAUAAUUGCUUUCACAAGUCAUGAAUGAAUUGUAUGUAUAUUUUGAUGACAGAAGAUUCAAAUUCCAUAGUUUUUUUUAGAGUGGAUGAUAUUUGCUUCAAAAUUAUA